CUAACGGCGCAUUUCAGUUUUGGGAUGCCUAUCAUUUGUUCCUUUCAUAGAUGACCUUCUUUACCAAAGGUCAAGGCAUACCUACGAGACAAAUACUUACCGCAGCCCUGUUCGCGUGCUCCCGAGUACCGAGGGUUAAAUUCGCCGGUUGCCAAUCUUGUCAUUUCUUGCUAGGUAAGGUACCUACACAUCUUCACAGUGGAACCGCUUGAACCUCGGUACCCUGAUGAAAAAUUAACAGUUUCGUCACGUGCUUUGAUAUAUUUUAGCAAAUCCAAAAUGAUAAAUUGCCUCCACAGAUUCUCAUCCAAGGCCAUUUCUCAUCUGGCUUCUUCCCUCGUGUUCGCUCUCUUCGUGCUUUUAGGGCCCGGUUUGUUCUAUCUGAACCGAUGGAGACUCACUAGCAUUUAUUUAAAUAACAUCAUUUUAGUUUUGGUUGGUUAAACCGUUUUCCUCUUUUCUUUAUAGUGUAAUCUCUUGUGCUUUUUCAUUGCAAGAUACGCAAUAGUUACAAAGUACCUUACAGCACAAUAUCUGAAUUUCAGUCCAGAUUCACGCCCCGCUGAAAGGGAAGUGGUGUUGCGUUUCAGCCCGCGGAGGCCGUUUUCAGUUUGCGCGGUCGCCUGAUGGCCUCUGACGGCUUCCUGGCUGCCGUGGUGCGCUGGUGGACGCCGUUGGCUCUGCUCGCUGCAUUGGCGCCACCGACGGUAACCCUUUCCGGUUCGAGGCACCAUUUAAACUGGCGGCGCCGGAUGCCGACAGCCAUCAGCUGACACCGGACGGCGGCGUCCUGGGCCCAGCCCCGGCCCCGGCGGCCAGCGACCUGACCAGAUCACCACUGGCUCUGCUCUAUCGACCGCACCUGUUACCGCCUCGGCGAAGGGCGCGGCCCGGAGCUCGCGAGUACGGCCACUGCGCCGGCCACCUCACCUGUCUGGCCAAGUACGCGGCGGCGCUGGUCGUCUUCACGGCACUAGUGGUGUUCCGCUGAGGGCAUACUGCGCCACGCCUGCGCAUCAACUGGAGGGGCCGAUACCCAGGGAAAUGGGCACGUGUGUCAGUUACAGCCAUCGAAGAGGGCCGACGUCUUCCUGAGUCAUUGUUGGAUAAAAAGGCAUUUAACUUUUAACAUUGAUGUCACCAUCUUUCAUUCGACAUUCCAGCUACAUACCGAUCCUAGGAUCAAAAUGUCAAACGGUAAAAACAAUGCACUCGACCAGUCCAAUUUUGAUCGCUUCAUUUAUUAUGUUACCCGUGUUGCAUUUGUCUUUUUCGUUCAAUACAUUUUUGGUUGGUGGAUCAAAUA